GUAGAUAAGAAACCUAAACAAUUGUGAUAGAAAUUGCGAAAGUAUCAAAAGAAAGAAAAGAAACACGAACAAAUGAUGUACACCACUUUCGGUGCUGAGUUGUGGGUAUACUGCACAGAUUAUUCACUAUAUCACAAUAUUUAUCGAGAUUGUGAUAUAAAAUUACAAAGGACAGAGUAAUUUAUCCAAAUUUCGGUGGCCAGGAGGGACAAAGUUUGCAGACAAACAAAACCCCCAAGACUGUAACUCAGAAUUGUGAUACCAGUAAACAGUGUGCGUUACCGGGAGUCACCAGUGUCUGUUGAAAGUAUCUGGUCAUUGUUCCCUGGAGUCGUUCCUCUCUCAGGUCA